AGCUCGAAUAGCGUAUAUUAAAGUUGUUGCGGUUAAAAAGCUCGUAGUUGGAUCUCAGUUACGGACGGGCGGUCCGCCUACCACGGCGGCAACUGCCCGAUCCGAACAGCCAGCCGGUUUCCCUUGAUGAUCUUCACCGGUUGUCUUGGGUGACUGGCGAGUUUACUUUGAAAAAAUUAGAGUGCUCAAAGCAGGCGUGACGCCUGGAUAAUGGUGCAUGGAAUAAUGGAAUAGGACCUCGGUUCUAUUUUGUUGGUUUUCGGAGCACGAGGUAAUGAUUAAGAGGGACAGACGGGGGCAUUCGUACUGCGACGCUAGAGGUGAAAUUCUUGGACCGUCGCACGACGAACUACUGCGAAAGCAUUUGCCAAGAAUGUUUCCA
rnacentral:rRNA from 1 species